AAAAAAAAAAAAAAAAAAAAGAAGAAGAAGAAGAAAAACCUAAAAGACCUAGACUCUUCUUCUUCCUCGACACAACCACUUCCACACUUAGAAAAAUGAAACCGUAAACUCCAUCUGUGUCGCCUAAACACUUAGAUCUAUUCCUCUUCGCCUAAACCGUAAGCUCCGAUCUCUUACUCCUCGACUCGCCGUGCUUCUCUUGGCCGACAGCUCCACGUACCAUCGCACUCGACCCUUUGAUUCUGGGUUACAAACCCAGAUCGCUCAUCAAUCUCUGAGAUCCGGCAAACGGAGACGGUCUGCCUUUCUGGGAAGCAUUGGCGGAGACUGAAUAGAGGUCGAUUUGUUCUUGUUGCUGUUUUUUCUUUGAUUUAAUCAUAGUUUCAACUUAGAUGAUGUUUAUAUUUGGUCGAUUUAAUCUACAUUGUUUUUGUUUCUUGUAUAAUUUGACUAUUACAGGUUGGAAGUGUUGAACACAACCCACUCAACCACUCUUCUUUCUAUCUCUGAUUUCAAGUUGUGAAUCUGUGAUACUUUCCAGCUUUAUUAUUUAGUUACAGGAGUUAUGUGAGGCAUGGUUCCAAGGUGAAGGUGAAGGAGGAAAUGGUACAUGAUGUGGUUGGAUUCUAAUUGAUUGUGCCACCGGUGAAGUUGUUAGACAUGCUACAAGCUCAUGAGACAUGACUAAACAGUCCAAACCCAAAACCAAACCUUCUUCUUCCUCAAACACCAGAAGAAACCUUCCUCUGAGGAUCAUCUCCAACAGCUCACCACAACUCGCCAAGAAACUCUCUUCACACCAGACGGGUGAGUAAAAGAAAGAUACUUUCCAAGACGUCCAUGACUCCUCCUCCUCCUCCUCUUGUGUCUGCAGAUUUCAACAAGAGCAGGAUUCAUCUCACUCCUUGUUUUGCAUAGAAGCACAUCAAGAAGACCAGAGAGCAGACAAGAUAAUCUUGAGAGCUUUGAUGUGAUGAAGAAGUCCGAUGAUCUAAAGAAAGAUUUCAGGGAAUCAAUGAUUGAGAUGAUAGAAGAAACAACGUCAGAGCUUCAAAACAUGGUGUGCAUCACUUUGUCUUUUAGUUUUGGUUUUUUCAGUUUCAGCAAUAUGUUUGUUUGUGAAACAUUUGGAUAUAUGAAAUAGAUAUUUUGUAUGACUAUUAUCAGUCUUUUGAAAAUAAGAUAAUAGUGCUUGUGGUAAUAUAAAAUAUUGGUAAUUAAA